rnacentral:tRNA from 1 species
CGGGGCGUGGCGCAGCCUGGUUAGCGCGCUGGUCUGGGGGACCAGAGGUCCCGAGUUCGAAUCUCGGCGCCCCGA